AAGAAGAAUGGGCAAAGUCCAGUGUUAACCAUCCAUCUCACAACAGCUAAUGAAGUGGUAGUAGCUAUAUUGGCUAGUCAGCCAAAAGCUGCUACGAAUUCCUUAUCAGCUGCGAGAGAGUUAACACUAUAGCUUAAACCUGAAAUCAGCAGUAGGGCUCGCUCAGAGCAAAUGAGCUGAUGUUUCUAAUCAACUAUGACUCUGGAAAAAAAUAAUCUGUUUUCCCCUAUACAUUCUGCUCUCCAAAAGUUAAGUAUCUAGACUUGUCUCAUGAACCCCUGAAGAACAUGAGAUAUAAUGCAGGCUCCAAUAAGAAUGGCCCUGCUCAUCUGCUUCUGCUCUGUAUGUAGCAAACCUGGGAAUGACGCUGCCCUGAAGGGACCCUCUGCUUGCUCUCAAGCUCCGUCUCUGGCAUAAUUCAGCUGCUGGAAGUUGGGGUGCAUACAUAAUGCAAGCAAGGAACUAUGGUACAGGCCUCUGACUACCUAGGAAAUUCUGUAUGAAACUUAUAUGAAGAAUGCGCAUACAAGGACAACCAAAGGACCAUUCAUCUGCAAUGCCAACCUGGACAUUUCCAGACUACUGGAUACUAAACCAUUCAACACCCACAUUCUCUCAAAUAUUUUGGUCACAUGCUAUACUAUACAUUUAUUUUAUAUCUAUACAUUACUUUAAAACUAUACAUUCACGGUAACUGAAAGGAUUAUUCAGGGCAACAGCGUCAAGACCUGUAACAUUCUAGAGACAGCACCACAUACUGAGCAACGUAUGAGGAGCAUUCUUAUGAAAAAUAAAGUAAAUUCUAUCUCUUCGAG